GCUUACCAUGCAGUUGACGAGAUAAUAAUUCAUUGAAUUAUAAUACUUAGUAGCGGACGGGUGAGUAACGCGUAAGAAUCUAUCUUUAGGAAAAGGAUAACAACUGGAAACGGUUGCUAAUACUUUAUAUGCUGAGAAGUUAAAUAGGUUACUGCCUAAAGAUGAGCUUGCGUCUGAUUAGCUAGUUGGUAAGGUAAAGGCUUACCAAGGCAAUUAUCAGUAGUUGGUCUGAGAGGAUGAUCAGCCACACUGGGACUGAGACACGGCCCAGACUCCUACGGGAGGCAGCAGUGAGGAAUUUUUCGCAAUGGGCGCAAGCCUGACGAAGCAAUACCGCGUGAAGGAUGAAGGCCUGCGGGUUGUAAACUUCUUUUAUUAGAGAAGAUAAUGACGGUAUCUAAUGAAUAAGCAUCGGCUAAAUAUGUGCCAGCAGCCGCGGUAAUACAUAUGAUGCAAGCGUUAUCCGGAAUGAUUGGGCGUAAAGCGUCUGUAGGUUGUUUAAAAAGUCAACUGUCAAAAACUAAGGCUCAACUUUAGGCAGGCAGUUGAAACUUUUAGACUAGAGUAUGGCAGAGGUAGAGGGAAUUACUGGUGUAACGGUGAAAUGUGCAGAUAUCAGUAAGAACACCAAUGGCGAAAGCACUCUACUGGACCAAAAACUGACACUCAGAGACGAAAGCUAGGGGAGCGA
rnacentral:rRNA from 1 species